rnacentral:rRNA from 1 species
GAUGAACGCUGGCGGCGUGCCUAAUACAUGCAAGUCGAGCGAACAGACGAGGAGCUUGCUCCUCUGACGUUAGCGGCGGACGGGUGAGUAACACGUGGAUAACCUACCUAUAAGACUGGGAUAACUUCGGGAAACCGGAGCUAAUACCGGAUAAUAUAUUGAACCGCAGGGUUCAAUAGUGAAAGACGGUUUUGCUGUCACUUAUAGAUGGAUCCGCGCCGCAUUAGCUUGUUGGUAAGGUAACGGCUUACCAAGGCAACGAUGCGUAGCCGACCUGAGAGGGUGGUCGGCCACCCUGGAACUUGGCCACCGUCCAGGCUCCUACGGGAGGCCGCAGUAGGGAAUCUUCCGCAAUGGGCGAAAGCCUUACGGAGCAACGCCGCGUGAGUGAUGAAGGUCUUCGGAUCGUAAAACUCUGUUAUUAGUGAAGAACAAAUGUGUAAGUAACUAUGCACGUCUUGACGGUACCUAAUCAGAAAGCCACGGCUAACUACGUG